GUACAAUACAAAAUGUCUGAUUCAUUAUGAGUCAGUCUCUUCCAGUCAGACACCUAGAGGGGAAACAUCCUUGUCAGGUGUUGGCUAUAACAGGGGCUAUAACAGGGGUGAUACAGUUUCUGGUCAGGUGCUGGGCUAUAACACGGGUGAUACAGUUUAUCUGGUCAGGUGCUGGGCUGUAACAGGGGCUAUAACAGGGGUGAUACAGUAUAUCUGGUCAGGUGUUGGCUAUAACAGGGGUGAUACAGUAUAUCUGGUCAGGUGUUGGGCUAUAACAGGGGCUAUAACAGGGGUGAUACAGUUUAUCUGGUCAGGUGCUGGGCUAUAACAGGGGCUAUAACAGGGGUGAUACAGUUUAUCUGGUCAGGUGCUGGGCUAUAACAGGGGCUAUAACAGGGGUGAUACAGUUUAUCUGGUCAGGUGUUGGGCUAUAACAGGGGUGAUACAGUUUAUCUGGUCAGGUGUUGGGCUAUAACAGGGGCUAUAACAGGGGUGAUACAGUAUAUCUGGUCAGGUGCUGGGCUAUAACAGGGGCUAUAACAGGGGUGAUACAGUUUCUGGUCAGGUGUUGGGCUAUAACGGGGGUUUUACAGUUUCUGGUCAGGUGCUGGGCUAUAACAGGGGCUAUAACAGGGGUGAUACAGUAUAUCUGGUCAGGUGUUGGGCUAUAACAGGGGUGAUAGUUUAUCUGGUCAGGUGCUGGGCUAUAACAGGGGCUAUAACAGGGGCUAUAACAGGGGUGAUAUAGUAUAUCUGGUCAGGUGUUGGCUAUAACAGGGGUGAUACAGUUUAUCUGGUCAGGUGCUGGGCUAUAACAGGGGCUAUAACAUGGGGCUAUUAAUAUGGUUGAAUCUGGAAACUAUCAUCUCGAAAACAAAAGUUUUUUUCUUUCAGUGACAUACGGAACCGUUCCGUAUUUUAUCUAACGGGUGACUAAGUCUAAAUAUUCCUGUUAGGCAUCGAUGUUUAUGGUUAGGUACAUUGGUG
rnacentral:lncRNA from 1 species